rnacentral:rRNA from 1 species
AUUGAACGCUGGCGGCAGGCCUAACACAUGCAAGUCGAGCGGAUGAAGGGAGCUUGCUCCUGGAUUCAGCGGCGGACGGGUGAGUAAUGCCUAGGAAUCUGCCUGGUAGUGGGGGAUAACGUCCGGAAACGGGCGCUAAUACCGCAUACGUCCUGAGGGAGCAAGUGGGGGAUCUUCGGACCUCACGCUAUCAGAUGAGCCUAGGUCGGAUUAGCUAGUUGGUGGGGUAAAGGCCUACCAAGGCGACGAUCCGUAACUGGUCUGAGAGGAUGAUCAGUCACACUGGAACUGAGACACGGUCCAGACUCCUACGGGAGGCAGCAGUGGGGAAUAUUGGACAAUGGGCGAAAGCCUGAUCCAGCCAUGCCGCGUGUGUGAAGAAGGUCUUCGGAUUGUAAAGCACUUUAAGUUGGGAGGAAGGGCAGUAAGUUAAUACCUUGCUGUUUGGACGUUACCAACAGAAUAAGCACCGGCUAACUUCGG